UACGAAGGGGGCUAGCGUUGCUCGGAAUACUGGGCGUAAAGCGCACGUAGGCGGAUUGUUAAGUCAGGGGUGAAAUCCUGGAGCUCAACUCCAGAACUGCCUUUGAUACUGGCGAUCUUGAGUUCGGGAGAGGUGAGUGGAACUGCGAGUGUAGAGGUGAAAUUCGUAGAUAUUCGCAAGAACACCAGUGGCGAAGGCGGCUCACUGGCCCGAUACUGACGCUGAGGCACGAAAGCGUGGGGAGCAAACAGG
rnacentral:rRNA from 1 species